CACGUAGGGUGCGAGCGUUGUCCGGAAUUAUUGGGCGUAAAGAGCUCGUAGGCGGUGUGUCGCGUCGGCCGUGAAAACCUGCAGCUUAACUGUGGGCUUGCGGUCGAUACGGGCAUCACUGGAGUUCGGCAGGGGAGACUGGAAUUCCUGGUGUAGCGGUGAAAUGCGCAGAUAUCAGGAGGAACACCGGUGGCGAAGGCGGCUCACUGGCCCGGUACU
rnacentral:rRNA from 1 species